rnacentral:rRNA from 1 species
AUGAGCGCCAUGUGCUUUUUGUUGGCAUGCUUGGCGGCAGCCAUGCGGCCAACGUCGGCCGCCGAGGCUGGAAGGAGUGGGAUCUUGAAUAUCCCUUCCGCCGGCGACCUGGCUCGGGCUCGCUGCCCUUCCAGAUGCGGUGGUGUUGCCAUUCACUAUCCGUUCGGGAUAGGGCCAGGCUGCUUCCGACAAGGCUUCGAGCUCACCUGCAACAUCACCGCAGGUUAUAUGAGGCUCUUUCUGCCCAACACUACCACUGAGAUCCUUGAGUUACCUCCUGGAGAUACUUUGCUUCGGGUCCCUCCUAUCCACUUCAACGUCCCCAUGAAACCAGGUAUGACCGACACCUAUAACAUGUCAUGGGAGGUCCCUGUUAAAGGUGUUAUGAUCUAUGGAGGAGAAUCUAGCUUGUUCGUUGUUGGUUGUGGUGUGAGUGUUUACUUGUUUGGCCAUGAUACCGACGACCCCAUCGGUAGUUGCAUGAGUAUUUGCCUCGACGACAAAGUGGCCAUGAAGGAGGCAAAUGCAAACAACUUCAAUGGCGAUGGUGGGAUGGGAUACUGUUCCAUCCCUUUGCAGCAGGACGUUCCAGCAUUCGGGUUCGUAGUUGACGGCCUCAAAGGCGCAUCUGCACUAGCAGGUCAAGGUCAAGGGCUCUCUAAUAGUAGUAUCAAAGUUUUCUUGGCGGGAGAUUACAAAUUUCAUACGGUUGACAUAUAUUCAAGUAAGAUAGACGAACGAAAUGUUGCAUGGCCAUAUUUUAGCAUGACCAUCACGGAUCAACCCAACUGUGAAAGUGCUCAGAAGGAAAAGUCAAGCUAUGCUUGUAGCACUGACAGUGAUUGCCUGGAUCUGCCAUCUGGAGGCUACUCCUGUUUCUGCCGCCGUUACACAAACAACGACAACCCGUACCUUAGGGAUGGUUGCCAACAACAAGCGUACAACAAUUUCAAUCCUAUAGGAGGUUGCACCAGAUUAUGCGGGAGCACACAUAUUCACUUCCCUUUUGGGCUUGAAAAAGGUUGCUACGCCGCUGAACAGUUCAGACUUAUCUGUACAUUGGAAAACAUCACAAUUCUUUACAGAGGGGGCAACAAAUUUAAUCAAGGGGCCAAAUUCAUUGUGGCCAACAUUUCAGUGAAUGAAGGAUAUCUUAGUCUUAGAGGAGCACAAAAUAACUCAAUGUACGUUAAUGAAAGGCUUGCAGUAAUAGAUAAAAGCGACAUGGGUUUGGAAUUAGAAGACACCUCUUCAAAGGGUUAUUAUUUUUCUGAAGAAUACGAUAUGAGGAUGUGGUGGUCUGUCGAUAAUUUAACAUGUACGGUUGCUAUGAGCAAGGAAAGAAGUGCUAUGUAUGCAUGCCGUAGCGGCAAUAGCACUUGCGUUAUUGUCAAACAACAAGACUACAAGGAUGUGGCAAUGCAACUCGGCUAUCGUUGCCAGUGCUCUCAAGGUUUUGAUGGAAAUCCAUACACACUGGAUGGCUGCAAAGAUGUCAAUGAGUGUUUGCAAAUGGAUAUUUGCAACGGCACAUGCCGAAAUUAUCCUGGAGGCUAUAGUUGUUGCACUCGUGGAGAAGAGUUUGAUCCGGUAGAAAAGAGAUGUUUCAGGUUAACAAAGAGACACAAUAUUAUCUUAGGUAUCACAAUUGGAAUUAGUUGUGGCCUUGGCGCCAUAAUUCUUGUGCUAGGUGCAAUAGUACUCAUCCGCAAGUGGAAGAGAGGCAUAGAAAAGAGAAUUCGAAGGGCAUACUUCAAGAAAAAUCAAGGCUUACUCUUCGAACAACUAAUAGCAGAUGAAAGUGCCGCAGAUAAAACAAAGAUAUUCUCAUUGGAGGAAUUAGAUAAAGCAACAAACCACUUUGACGCCAACCGUAUUCUUGGUCGUGGAGGACAUGGAACAGUUUACAAAGGGAUUCUAUCCGAUCAACGUAUAGUGGCCAUAAAAAAGUCUAAGCUAGUGGAGCAAACUGAGAUUGACCAGUUUAUCAAUGAGGUUGCCAUCCUAUCACAAAUCAUUCAUCGGAAUGUGGUCAAGCUUUUCGGUUGUUGUCUCGAAACAGAGGUUCCUUUGUUAGUUUACGAGUUCAUAUCCAAUGGAACACUGUAUGAUCUUCUCCACAUCGAUGUAAGUGUUAAAUGCUUGCUUAUAUGGGAUGAUCGCAUUAGGAUUGCAGUAGAAGCCGCAGGUGCCCUUUCUUAUCUCCACUCAGCUGCUGCAAUACCAAUUUUCCAUAGAGAUGUCAAAUCUUCAAAUAUACUCCUAGAUGACAACUUUACUACCAAGAUUUCUGACUUUGGUGCUUCAAGAUCUUUAUCACUUGAUCAGACACAUGUAGUGACAACUGUACAAGGCACUUUUGGUUACUUAGACCCUGAGUACUACCACACUGGCCAGCUGAAUGCGAAGAGUGAUGUUUAUAGCUUUGGAGUUAUACUAGUGGAGCUUGUGAUAAGAAAGAAGCCAAUUUUUAUUAAUGACCAAGGUAUAAAACAAAGCUUAGCUCAAUACUUUGUUGAAGGACUUCAGCAGGGAGUUCUCAUGGAAAUCAUGGAUCCCCAAGUUCUAAUAGAAGCGAACCAGAAUGAAAUUGAGGGUAUUGCUUCAAUCGCAGAAGCAUGCUUGAAAACUAAAGGAGGAGAAAGACCUACCAUGAAGGAGGUAGAAAUGAAGUUGCAAUUCCUUAGAAGUAGUAGAAGGCUAAGGAGUCAACUUCCCUUCAGAUAUGAUGGAGAGAUCGAGCCAUUUUGGUGCCCAAAUACUAGUAGCUCUCAUGCACAGAGCAACAACAUUACCAGUAUCAUUGGUUUAACACCUACAUGCAUCUCCAGUAAGUAUAGUUUGGAGCAAGAGUUUCUGAACUCGGCCAGCUUGCCACGCUAG